rnacentral:SRP_RNA from 1 species
GCCGGGUGUGGUGGCUCACGCCUGUAAUCCCAACAUUUUGGGAGGCCGAGGUGGGUGGAUCACCUGAGGUCAGGAGUUUGAGACCAGCCUGGCCAAUAUGGCGAAACCCCAUCUCUA